rnacentral:tRNA from 1 species
GCCGAUGUAGCUCAGCUGGUAGAGCAUUCCCAUGGUAAGGGAAAGGUCCCCGGUUCAAUCCCGGGCAUCGGCU